rnacentral:rRNA from 1 species
UACGGAGGAUGCGAGCGUUAUCCGGAUUUAUUGGGUUUAAAGGGUGCGUAGGCGGGUUGUUAAGUCAGCGGUAAAAUUGCGGUGCUCAACGCCGUAGAGCCGUUGAAACUGGCGGCUUUGAGUGGGCGAGAAGUAUGCGGAAUGCGUGGUGUAGCGGUGAAAUGCAUAGAUAUCACGCAGAACCCCGAUUGCGAAGGCAGCAUACCGGCGCCCUACUGACGCUGAGGCACGAAAGUGCGGGUAUCGAACAGG